UUCCUGAUAACUCAGUUGGUAAGGAAUCUGCCUACAAAGCAGGAGAUCCUGGUUUGAUUCCUGGGUCAGGACA
rfam:Ovis aries breed Texel chromosome 2, whole genome shotgun sequence.